GGGCUCCCUUUGACAGUACAUAUAGUAAAGUUGGAGUGAUACAGAGAUUAACUUGGCCCUGUUUAAGGAUGACACCCACAUAUGUGCAGCAUCCUAUAUGUGU